GGGCGAGUGGCGGAAUUGGCAGACGCGCUGGCUUCAGGUGCCAGUGGCCGCAAGGUCGUGGGGGUUCAAGUCCCCCUUCGCCCA
rnacentral:tRNA from 1 species